UUGCCAACACCGUUACAACUUAGCUCUGCAUUUGCAGAUAUUUAUCUGACGAUGCCGAAAUGAUUGAAAUUGAGUGAUCUUGGAUAAAUUUAUGUAAAUGUAUAUUAAAACAAGCAACGGCUACACAAGUAAUAUAACCUAUUUGUAUCUGAUAACAGUUCUUUUUAUCAAGCAGCACAAAAUCGGGUACAUGUUCAUGUUUUUACAUACAUAUAUAUAUAUAUGUGUACAUGAAUAUGUGUGUGACCAAGUGAAAUGUUCAACAUCUACUUACAUUUAAAAACGUAACCUCUUUCUAGAUUACAAAUGGAUCUGACAUUGGAUAAUUACUUUUCUCAUCUUAAUUCCCUGUCUGUUAAAAUUGCUUGUGAUAUAAAUGGAGUUAAAUCAACGUAUGACAGAGAAACUUGGCGUUCAUUAACUUUGAAAAAUCAAGAAAACGUACUGAACAGUUAUUUUAUAAAACCAGAUGUACAAAAUAAGUACAAUAACAAAUCGAUUGCGAAAAAAGCUUCUCAAGUAAAGACUAACUUGGUUUAUUCAUAUAA